rnacentral:rRNA from 1 species
UACGUAGGGUCCGAGCGUUGUCCGGAAUUAUUGGGCGUAAAGAGCUCGUAGGCGGUUUGUCACGUCUGCUGUGAAAACUGGAGGCUCAACCUCCAGCCUGCAGUGGGUACGGGCAGACUAGAGUGCGGUAGGGGAGAAUGGAAUUCCUGGUGUAGCGGUGGAAUGCGCAGAUAUCAGGAGGAACACCGAUGGCGAAGGCAGUUCUCUGGGCCGUAACUGACGCUGAGGAGCGAAAGCGUGGGGAGCAAACAGG